GAACAUUUGGGAUGUUGUAAGUAUUUAAGUGAACAAAAUACAUAACACUGGCCUAGUGGUUUUUGGAUAUUUUACUGCAAAAAUAUUACAUAUUGUACCUUAACGCGGUGCGUGAUGACAUUGCUCGCGUUCCGUUUAAAGAGUUUUGGCCCCGUCAGCCUUCCAUACAAUAUGUGAACACGCAAACUUUCGCGUGAUUCGUUACUGUUUUGUACAAUUAAGUACACGUUUUAUCGCGCCAUUGCUUUUUUGCUACCGACUCUUUUUUUGUAUGCUCACCGUUGGCAGAUUUUAAAGUGGUUUGAGAGCGCAUGUGUUGGAGUAAAGCCAAGAUGCCAAACAACUGAGAGACGACAGAAAAUUAAACAUAUUUUGAAGAAGGAGGCAGCGAAAGGGACAGUUUCUCUAUCAGCAUGGAUAAAAAAGUAGGCAAAAAUGACCAGCCAGAGAUGCAUGUUGCGGAGGAGGAGAGAGAAGAGGAUGAAUGUGAUAUGGGUCAAGGAGUUGAAAAGAAAGCACCAGAUACAGACUUUGAUGAAGAAAACAACACAGAAUAUGUAUGUCUAUUACAUCAUAAAUAUCCAACAAAUGUUUAAACAAACUUUACAUUUAAGCAUUCAUCUUUCUACUCAUUUUUUUUUUCUUUUUGUUGUAAUUACUAUAUUCUAUUCAUUGAAAAAAUAAGUCUAUUUCAGUAGUCUCGUAUUCAUUAAAGGGGGGGUCUAAUGCUU